rnacentral:rRNA from 1 species
UACAGAGGGUGCGAGCGUUAAUCGGAAUCACUGGGCGUAAAGCGCGUGUAGGCGGCCCACUAAGUCUGAUGUGAAAGCCCGGGGCUCACCCCCGGAAGUGCAUUGGAAACUGGUGGACUCGAGUCCCGGAGAGGAGAGUGGAAUUCCUGGUGUAGCGGUGAAAUGCGUAGAUAUCAGGAGGAACACCGGUGGCGAAGGCGGCUCUCUGGACGGUGACUGACGCUGAGACGCGAAAGCGUGGGGAGCAAACAGG